GUAAGGAAUAUUGGUCAAUGGGCGCAAGCCUGAACCAGCCAUGCCGCGUGCAGGAAGACGGCCCUAUGGGUUGUAAACUGCUUUUAUACCGGAAUAAACCCCUGAUCGUGAUCAGGGCUGAAUGUACGGUAGGAAUAAGGAUCGGCUAACUCCGUGCCAGCAGCCGCGGUAAUACGGAGGAUCCGAGCGUUAUCCGGAUUUAUUGGGUUUAAAGGGUGCGUAGGCGGCCUGUUAAGUCAGGGGUGAAAUUUUCCGGCUCAACCGGGAACUUGCCUUUGAUACUGACGGGCUUGAAUGCAGUUGAGGUAGGCGGAAUGUGACAAGUAGCGGUGAAAUGCAUAGAUAUGUCACAGAACACCGAUUGCGAAGGCAGCUUACCAAAGUGUGAUUGACGCUGAGGCACGAAAGCGUGGGGAUCAAACAGG
rnacentral:rRNA from 1 species